rnacentral:rRNA from 1 species
GAUGAACGCUAGCGACAGGCUUAACACAUGCAAGUCGAGGGGCAGCGGUGGUGAAGGCUUGCCUUUACCAGCCGGCGACCGGCGCACGGGUGAGUAACACGUAUGCAACCUGCCUGCCACAGCCGGAUAAUCGGGAGAAAUCCCGUCUAAUACGGCAUAAUGCACCUAUGGGACAUCCUGUUGGUGCCAAAGGUUAAUUCCGGUGGCGGAUGGGCAUGCGUCGCAUUAGUUAGUUGGCGGUGUAACGGACCACCAAGACGACGAUGCGUAGGGGUUCUGAGAGGAAGGCCCCCCACACUGGUACUGAGACACGGACCAG